rnacentral:rRNA from 1 species
AUUGAACGCUGGCGGCAGGCCUAACACAUGCAAGUCGAACGAGUGGCGGACGGGUGAGUAAUGUCUGGGAAACUGCCCGAUGGAGGGGGGUCACUACUGGAAACGGUAGCUAAUACCGCAUACCAUCGGAUGUGCCCAGAUGGGAUUAGCUAGUAGGGGGGGUAACGGCUCACCUAGGAGACGGUCCCUAGCUGGUCUGAGAGGAUGACCGGCCACACUGGUACGGAGAAACGGUCCAGACUCCUACGGGAGGAAGCAGUGGGGAAUAUUGCACAAGGGGCGCAAGCCUGAUGCAGCAAUGCCGCGUGUAUGAAGAAGGCCUUCGGGUGGUAAAGUACUUUCAGCGGGGAGGCGUUACCCGCAGAAGAAGCAACGGCUAACUCCGUGCCAGCAGCCGCGGUAAUAC